GCGCUCACUUUGCCGGCACUUAUACUAGAAUUGGAACGAUACAGAGAUUAGCAUGUCCCCUACGCAAGGAUGACACGCAAAUAAGCAAAGCAUUCCAUAAUAAA
ensembl:snRNA U6 U6 spliceosomal RNA